GUCAAUCAUUCUUUCAAAAAAAAAAAAACAUUGUUUGUGUCAAUCAUGUAAGAAUUACCUUUGCUGAACCAAAUUCACAACACAGUCAAUAACAAUGUCACGUAAACUCUUAUCGUCACUACUUCGAACUUGCAAAACCCAUUCCACUGUCUCACAAUGCCAUGCCCAAACCCUCCUCCAAUCUCUCCUUCCAAACGUCAUUCUUGAAACAGACCUUUUACUAGCCUACACAAAAUUGGGUCUAAUAAGCCACGCUCGCAAACUGUUCGACAAAAUGCCACAAAGAAACAUGCAUUCUUGGAACAUAAUGAUUGCUUCUUACACUCAUAAUUCAAUGUAUUUCGAUGCAUUAACUGUUUUUGAAGCUUUUAAACGAUGUGGGGUGUUGCCGGAUUGUUACACAUUGCCGCCAUUGUUUAAAAUUUCUAUUAGAAUAGAUGAAUGUUGCUUGGGAUGGAUGUGUCAUGGUUUGGUUGUUAAGCUUGGUUAUGAGGAAAUUGUUGUUGUAAAUAACUCUGUACUUGAGUUUUAUGUCAAAUGUGGGACCAUGUCUCAGGCUUUGUCUGUCUUCUCCAAUCAUAAUGCUCCUCGAGACUCAGCGACAUGGAAUUUGAUGAUUUCUGGGUUUGGAAAGGCUGGCUUGUAUUCUGAGGCUGUCCAUUGUUUCAGAGAAAUGUUGAAGUAUCGAAAUGGGAUUGAGUUAGAUCACAUGACACUCCCUAGCAUUUUGAGUGCUUGUGGGAAGGAAGGGGAUUUGUUGAAAGUGAAGGAAGUGCAUGGCUUUAUUGUUAGGAACUUUGGUUUUGAUGCUGAUGCUCCCAUUGGGAAUGCAUUGAUUGAUAAUUACGGUAAAUGUGGUAGCUUGAAGGAUUCAGAAAAUAUCUUCAAGACCGUGUGCUAUGUAAAUUUAGUGACAUGGACAACUAUGAUAUCUUGUUAUGGGAUGCAUGGAAAGGGGCAGGAAUCAGUUGUUCUGUUUGAGAAGAUGAUGGAUGAGGGGUUUAGACCAAAUGCUGUUACUCUCACAGCUAUUUUAGCUAGUUGUAGCCACUGUGGUUUGUUGGAUCAAGGCAAGAAGAUUUUUGGCUCAAUGAUUUCAGAUUAUGGAUUAGAGCCCACUGCUGAGCAUUAUGCCUGUAUGGUGGAUCUUUUUAGCCGUUGUGGACGUCUUGAGGAAGCGCUUCAGUUGUUGGAAAGAAUGAAAUCUUCAUCAGUGACAGGAAGCAUGUGGGGUGCCCUUCUUGCUGGUUGUGUCAUGCACCAGAAUGUCAAAAUUGGAGAAGUUGCAGCACAUCAUUUAUUUCAAUUAGAGCCAAAUAAUACUAGCAACUAUGUAGCUUUGUGGGGAAUCUAUCAGUCCCGUGGUAUGGUUCUUGGGGUUUCAACUAUUAGAGGAAAGAUGAGGGAUUUAGGUUUGGUUAAAACUCCUGGCUGUAGCUGGAUAAAUAUUGCAGGAAGGGCUCAUAAAUUCUACCAAGGGGACCUUUCUCAUCCACUUUCUCAUAUAAUUUGCAAGAGAGUAUAUGAAAUUAGCAAUACUUUGCUAUCAACUAAUGAUUUGGGAGCAGCAUAUUUGCUACAUGAUGAUGAUACCUUUGCCAUGCCUUUGUAGAACAUUAGAGCAGGUUCAUCUGAAUAGAGUCAGGAAGAUAUCGACAUCAAAGUAGUGUCUUUGCUAAAUGAUAUGCUUAUAAGUUAUGAUUCUUUUUGGUUACGACCGUCACCAAUACUGUGUACAAGGCUUUAUGUCUCAAAUCAUCUUUUGUGAAGAUUGUGAGUCAAAAUUUGAUAGUUGGAUGCAGCAGAAGACAAAGUAUGUUAAUUGAAGCAGUUGCCUGUUUACGAAAGUGUUCCAGUCAUGACUUAGAAUAAGAGUUUCAACCUCAUUGAUUGAAAUAAGACCGAAUUUCCGCUGAUUAACGAGAUUGUGAACUCAUAUUCUUGAGGAAAGCCUUCAAAAGUUAUAUCUAAUUGUUCUUUGAUUGAAAUGGAGUCGCCAAUUGUAUUGCGUGAAUCGAUGAAUCAUUGAAUUCAAAGUAGAAAUUCGGAGGCAGAACAAAUCUCCAGAGUAGAGAGGCGAAGUUGAGAACGAAGCCGACGAGCCUCAACAUUGGUGUGUGCGUGAAAAUACACAUGAAUCUUUUCCCAAAGAUGCUAAAAGUGCUUGCAACCAAUGGCUCGUGUUAGUAUUUUGCUUGAGAUUGUGGAUUGCAACCAAGACAGCAACAAUUACUCUUGCUGCUCCCAUUUCAGAUAUUCUUCUGAGGUUCAAUUGUUCUCACAGCCUUCAAUGGUGUACAGUUUCAUCAGAAUUGAAGGAUUGACGAGAAAAUGAUGAAGACGAUGAGCUUUGAUCACUGGUUCCACUUGCCAACACCACAGAAGGGUCAUCCAGAUCUAAACCAGUGCUAAGGUUUAUGGAAAUUAUAGGUACGUUCCUUUUGGAAGGGAUCCAAACAUAUCUGAUGGUUAUUUGGGUUAUGCACUUUACUGGCAGCUUCAGCUAACCAAUGCUUACUAGCUGCUUCUUGAUUAGCUUUGUCUCUUCUACUAUCUAUAUCACUUUCCUACAUGAUUUGGGCUAUACUCAGAUUAUUCAUUGUUUAUUAAGUCUAGUAAUUCUCAUUCAACAAGAUUGUUAAUCUAUGUGGAUGACAUAUUGUUAAUCUUGAGAAGAUUCAUGAAACCAAAUCAUUCUUAGACAAUGGCCCUCAACUCUAUCUUAUCAACACUAGGCCUGAUUGACUUUUGCUACUAUUAACAGAGUCACACACUCUGUUUUGAAUUUGAAGCAAGCACACUAUGAUGCAGCAGUUCGGAUUCUGCAUUACAUCACUCAGAACAGGAGGCAUGUCCUGAAUUCAGAAUGUCUGUAACUGGUUUCUCCGUCUUUCAGGGUCCUCCCUCAUCAUGUAUUGGAACUCUGGAAGUCAAAAAAGCAGACUACAUUAUCUAGAACUUCAUUGAAGCUGAAUAUCGUGUCUUGCUAACAUUUCAUGCGAAAUUCAGUUGCUUUGACUAUUAGCGGAUCUCGAGCUUCUUGUGUCAGUGUCAUGUCCUCUAUUGUAAUAAUAAGUCUGCAAUUUAAAUUCUCCUAAAUCCAACUUUUCACGAGCACACUAAGCAUAUUCAACUUGAUUGUCACUUGGUUUGAUGAAUACUGAAAGUUACUUUUUUUAAUACCAUACUGAAGGUUACUUACUUUUGUGUUAGGAGUUUGGUUAAUUCAGUUUUUUUAGUUUUG